rnacentral:rRNA from 1 species
UACAGAGGGUGCGAGCGUUGUUCGGAAUUACUGGGCGUACAGCGCGCGCAGGCGGCCUUUUAAGUCUGACGGUGAAAUGCCGGGGCUCAACCCCGUGCCCGCCGGAGAUACUGGGAGGCUGGAGACGAGUAGAGGCAAGCGGAAUUCCGGGUGUAGCGGUGGAAUGCGUAGAGAUCCGGAAGAACACCGGAGGCGAAGGCGGCUUGCUGGGCUCGGUCUGACGCUGAGGCGCGAAAGCGUGGGGAGCGAACAGG